rnacentral:rRNA from 1 species
GACGAACGCUGGCGGCGUGCCUAACACAUGCAAGUCGAGCGAAGUGAGUACUACGGUACGAACUUAGCGGCGGACGGGUGAGUAACGCGUGGACAAUCUACCCUGUAGACUGGGAUAACACCUCGAAAGGGGUGCUAAUACCGGAUAAUGUCGAGAAGCGGCAUCGCUUUUCGAAGAAAGGAGGAAAUCCGCUAUAGGAGGAGUCCGCGUCCCAUUAGCUAGUUGGUGAGGGUAACGGCCCACCAAGGCGACGAUGGGUAGCCGGCCUGAGAGGGUGAACGGCCAAACUGGAACUGAGACACGGUCCAGACUCCUACGGGAGGCAGCAGUGGGGAAUAUUGUGCAAUGGGGGAAACCCUGACACAGCAACGCCGCGUGAGCGAAGAAGGCCUUCGGGUUGUAAAGCUCAAUAGUAUGGGAAGAUAAUGACGGUACCAUACGAAAGCCCCGGCUAACUACGUGCCAGCCGCCGCGGUAA